rnacentral:rRNA from 1 species
UACGUAGGGCGCAAGCGUUGUCCGGAAUUAUUGGGCGUAAAGAGCUUGUAGGGGGCUCGUUGCGUCGGGGGUGAAAACCUGCGGCUUAACCGCAGGCCUGCUUCCGAUACGGGCGAGCUAGAGUUCGGCAGGGGAGACUGGAAUUCCUGGUGUAGCGGUGGAAUGCGCAGAUAUCAGGAGGAACACCGGUGGCGAAGGCGGGUCUCUGGGCCGUAACUGACGCUGAGGAGCGAAAGCAUGGGGAGCGAACAGG